AUGAAAGUGUUGUGUGUAAUGUGUAAAAUAAACAGCCGAAAAAUUAUAAAUGGUGGUAGAAUCGACUUCGCACGCCUGAAAGCAGUUUAGGCUGUUGUGCAACCGUGUUGAGCCGGCGAACGUUAGAAAGAGGGAAGAAAGAAUGCCGGCAAUUCAACUAAACGAUGUUCGAUCAUGGAAAACAAGUUUCAGCUAAUGCCAGACGAACGAUCGAAUGACUGUUGUCUCGGAAGGGAGGUCUCAUUGCGGAUACUGACUUGGAUGUGAUGGCACCGAGUCGAUUGGUCGCAGUUGGCCCUGGUACUUUGAAUGAGGCGACAUCGGAGAAGCUGAACGCUGUGUUUAGAUUAGGAGCGGGCGUGUUGUGUGCAGAUCUCGAUCGGCGAAGUGCUGUAGUGAUUUUGUGUAGUGAUUGUGUCUAUAUGUAGCAAAAAAAUAGCACUAAAGUGCAAAAAGAAAUUGAAGUACAUAAAUCGGUCUAUACGUUUAUAUCGGUUUCAUAAGCCUCUUCAAUCGUUCAAUGGUCAAUCAAUCAUGGUCAACACUCUUACACUUCUGACGAACGAAUGCCUGGUCGCUAGCUGCAGCUUCCCAUCGAUGUAGGCACUCGAUCUUCGAGGUUUUACUUCACCUGAUCUAGCCAUCGAACUCGCUGUGCUUCCUUGCUUCUAGUACCGAACUGAGUGCCGCUUUCAAACACCUUGCUGUUGGGGCACGAGUCUGGCAUCUUUACAACAUGUCCCAGCCAUCGCAAACAGCCAUGUCCGACGCGCCAUACGGCUUCAGUAAGCUCGUGGUUAAUCAUUCGCAUCCACACCCCACAUGCUCGAAUGCACCACUUAAGAUGAUCCGGAGGAUGCAUCGGCCGUCGUGUUUCGCCGCUGUCCUUUGCAUGCUAUAAAGUAACACACCUAUUCAUCGCAGCACGAGCGCAACGUGAUACCCCAAAUAGCCAGCUCGUACUUUAUAGCUGAUUUAGGGCUGUUUAACGAAAAAUCGUUCCGAUGUCGUACU